rnacentral:rRNA from 1 species
GGCUUAACACAUGCAAGUCGAGGGGCAGCAUGGUCUUAGCUUGCUAAGGCCGAUGGCGACCGGCGCACGGGUGAGUAACACGUAUCCAACCUGCCGUCUACUCUUGGACAGCCUUCUGAAAGGAAGAUUAAUACAAGAUGGCAUCAUGAGUCCGCAUGUUCACAUGAUUAAAGGUAUUCCGGUAGACGAUGGGGAUGCGUUCCAUUAGAUAGUAGGCGGGGUAACGGCCCACCUAGUCUUCGAUGGAUAGGGGUUCUGAGAGGAAGGUCCCCCACAUUGGAACUGAGACACGGUCCAAACUCCUACGGGAGGCAGCAGUGAGGAAUAUUGGUCAAUGGGCGAGAGCCUGAACCAGCCAAGUAGCGUGAAGGAUGACUGCCCUAUGGGUUGUAAACUUCUUUUAUAAAGGAAUAAAGUCGGGUAUGGAUACCCGUUUGCAUGUACUUUAUGAAUAAGGAUCGGCUAACUCCGUGCCAGCAGCCGCGGUAAUACGGAGGAUCCGAGCGUUAUCCGGAUUUAUUGGGUUUAAAGGGAGCGUAGAUGGAUGUUUAAGUCAGUUGUGAAAGUUUGCGGCUCAACCGUAAAAUUGCAGUUGAUACUGGAUAUCUUGAGUGCAGUUGAGGCAGGCGGAAUUCGUGGUGUAGCGGUGAAAUGCUUAGAUAUCACGAAGAACUCCGAUUGCGAAGGCAGCCUGCUAAGCUGCAACUGACAUUGAGGCUCGAAAGUGUGGGUAUCAAACAGGAUUAGAUACCCUGGUAGUCCACACGGUAAACGAUGAAUACUCGCUGUUUGCGAUAUACUGCAAGCGGCCAAGCGAAAGCGUUAAGUAUUCCACCUGGGGAGUACGCCGGCAACGGUGAAACUCAAAGGAAUUGACGGGGGCCCGCACAAGCGGAGGAACAUGUGGUUUAAUUCGAUGAUACGCGAGGAACCUUACCCGGGCUUAAAUUGCAGAUGAAUUACGGUGAAAGCCGUAAGCCGCAAGGCAUCUGUGAAGGUGCUGCAUGGUCGUCGUCAGCUCGUGCCGUGAGGUGUCGGCUUAAGUGCCAUAACGAGCGCAACCCUUGUUGUCAGUUACUAACAGGUUCCGCUGAGGACUCUGACAAGACUGCCAUCGUAAGAUGUGAGGAAGGUGGGGAUGACGUCAAAUCAGCACGGCCCUUACGUCCGGGGCUACACACGUGUUACAAUGGGGGGUACAGAGGGCCGCUACCACGCGAGUGGAUGCCAAUCCCCAAAACCUCUCUCAGUUCGGACUGGAGUCUGCAACCCGACUCCACGAAGCUGGAUUCGCUAGUAAUCGCGCAUCAGCCACGGCGCGGUGAAUACGUUCCCGGGCCUUGUACACACCGCCCGUCAAGCCAUGGGAGCCGGGGGUACCUGAAGUGCGUAACCGCGAGGAGCGCCCUAGGGUAAAACUGGUGACUGGGGCUAAGUCGU